rnacentral:lncRNA from 1 species
AUAGAAUCAAAGAUUUCUUGGGAUGGGAGAGAGAGGGGACGCGAAGACAUGUAUGAGAAGAAUAUAAGAAAACUUGAGAAAGGAGAAACUAGGAGGAAGCUAGAAUCGGCAAGCAAAGAGAAAACACCAUAAAGAAGAAAAGGUAUUUACAGAUUAAACUUAUAGUACAUGGACAAAUAUAAGAAGCUCCCUUUUUGGUGGGAAAGUUCAAACAUCUUCCUAACUAUUUACUCUCCUUUAGUAAAAGAGAUAUAUAAGAUGCAUAUGUGGUGAAAAAUUAUUCAAACAAAGUAUAGUUAGCUCAAGUGGAAAAAAUAUUCAAAGCAAAUGCGAAAGAUCACAUGAUUGGGCGAUGUAUAAAACAAAACUAAUUACAUGAUUUAGUUUCAGAAAUUGGGGGUUUCAACCUAGAACCUACCAUUUUUUUGGAACACCUCCUAUGAACUUCUUAUAGUACAUAUGUUACAUUUUUGCCGAACUUGUUAAGUC